UACGGAGGGUGCAAGCGUUAUCCGGAUUCACUGGGUUUAAAGGGUGCGUAGGCGGCUAGGUAAGUCCGUGGUGAAAUCCUGCAGCUUAACUGCAGAACUGCCAUGGAUACUAUUUAUCUUGAAUGUCGUGGAGGUUAGCAGAAUAUGUCAUGUAGCGGUGAAAUGCUUAGAUAUGACAUAGAAUACCCAUUGCGAAGGCAGCUAACUACGCGAUAAUUGACGCUGAUGCACGAAAGCGUGGGGAUCAAACAGG
rnacentral:rRNA from 1 species